CAGAGGUCCCAAGCGUUAGGCGGAAUCACUGGGCUUAAGCGUGUGUAGGCGGAUUAGCAAGUACCUUGUGAAAUCCCACGGCUUAACCGUGGAACUGCUUGGUAUACUGCUAGUCUUGAGGCAUCUAGAGGCAACUGGAACAAACGGUGGAGCGGUGAAAUGCGUAGAUAUCGUUUGGAACGCCCAAGGUGAAAACAGGUUGCUGGGGAUGUACUGACGCCUGAGACACGAAAGCCAGGGGAGCAAACGGGAUUAGAUACCCCGGUAGUCCUGGCCCUAAACGAUGUCCACUAGACGGUAGCGACUCUCACGUUGUUAUCGUCGUAGCAAAAGUGUUAAGUGGACCGCCUGGGAAGUACGGUCGCAAGGCUA
rnacentral:rRNA from 1 species